rnacentral:tRNA from 3 species
GCCCCAGUAGUUCAAUGGACAGAACAAAUCCCUUCUAAGGAUUAAAUGGGGGUUCGAUUCCUCCCUGGGGCACCA